rnacentral:rRNA from 1 species
UACGGGGGGGGCAAGCGUUGUUCGGAAUUACUGGGCGUAAAGGGCUCGUAGGUGGCCAACUAAGUCGGACGUGAAAUCCCUCGGCUUAACCGGGGAACUGCGUCUGAUACUGGAUGGCUUGAGUUCGGGAGAGGGAUGCGGAAUUCCAGGUGUAGCGGUGAAAUGCGCAGAUAUCGGGAAGAACACCCGUGGCGAAGGCGGUUCUCUGGGACGGUACUGACGCUGAGACGCGAAAGCGUGGGGAGCGAACAGG